GUGGGGAAUAUUGGACAAUGGGCGAAAGCCUGAUCCAGCAAUGCCGCGUGAGUGAUGAAGGCCUUAGGGUUGUAAAGCUCUUUUACCCGGGAUGAUAAUGACAGUACCGGGAGAAUAAGCUCCGGCUAACUCCGUGCCAGCAGCCGCGGUAAUACGGAGGGAGCUAGCGUUGUUCGGAAUUACUGGGCGUAAAGCGCACGUAGGCGGCUACUCAAGUCGGGGGUGAAAGCCCGGGGCUCAACCCCGGAACUGCCUUCGAAACUAGGUAGCUAGAAUCUUGGAGAGGUCAGUGGAAUUCCGAGUGUAGAGGUGAAAUUCGUAGAUAUUCGGAAGAACACCAGUGGCGAAGGCGACUGACUGGACAAGUAUUGACGCUGAGGUGCGAAAGCGUGGGGAGCAAACAGGAUUAGAAACCCCGGUAGUCC
rnacentral:rRNA from 1 species